rnacentral:rRNA from 1 species
GACGAACGCUGGCGGCGUGCCUAAUACAUGCAAGUAGAACGCACAGUUUAUACCGUAGCUUGCUACACCAUAGACUGUGAGUUGCGAACGGGUGAGUAACGCGUAGGUAACCUGCCUGGUAGCGGGGGAUAACUAUUGGAAACGAUAGCUAAUACCGCAUAAUAUUAAUUAUUGCAUGAUAAUUGAUUGAAAGAUGCAACUGCAUCACUACCAGAUGGACCUGCGUUGUAUUAGCUAGUAGGUGAGGUAACGGCUCACCUAGGCGACGAUACAUAGCCGACCUGAGAGGGUGAUCGGCCACACUGGGACUGAGACACGGCCCAGACUCCUACGGGAGGCAGCAGUAGGGAAUCGUCGGCAAUGGACGAAAGUCUGACCGAGCAACGCCGCGUGAGUGAAGAAGGUUUUCGGAUCGUAAAGCUCUGUUGUAAGAGAAGAACGGGUGUGAGAGUGGAAAGUUCACACUGUGACGGUAUCUUACCAGAAAGGGACGGCUAACUACGUG